rnacentral:rRNA from 1 species
UUUUCGGCAAUGGGGGAAACCCUGACCGAGCAAUGCCGCGUGAAUGAUGAAAUUCUUCGGAAUGUAAAAUUCUGUUGUGAGGGAAGAAAGGUAGUAUCAGGAAAUGGGUAUUACUUGACGGUACCUUACUAGAAAGCCCCGGCUAACUAUGUGCCAGCAGCCGCGGUAAUACAUAGGGGGCGAGCGUUAUCCGGAAUUAUUGGGCGUAAAGCGUGCGUAGGUGGCCGUUUAAGUCUGUCGUGAAAGCCCACAGCUUAACUGUGGAGGGUCGAUGGAAACUGGAUGGCUUGAAUCUAGAAGAGGUAAGUGGAAUUCCAUGUGUAGCGGUAAAAUGCUUAGAUAUAUGGAGGAACACCAGUGGCGAAGGCGGCUUACUGGUCUAGCAUUGACGCUGAGGCACGAAAGCGUAGGUAGCAAACAGGAUUAGAUACCCUGGUAGUCUACGCUGUAAACGAUGAGCACUAAGUGUCGGACGUAAGUUCGGUGCUGUAGUUAACGCAUUAAGUGCUCCGCCUGGGGAGUACGGUCGCAAGACUGAAACUCAAAGGAAUUGACGGGGACUCGCACAAGCGGUGGAGCAUGUGGUUUAAUUCGACGCAACGCGAAAAACCUUACCAGGCCUUGACAUCCCUAUGACCGCUCUAGAGAUAGAGUUUCCUCUUCGGAGGUAUAGGUGACAGGUGGUGCAUGGUUGUCGUCAGCUCGUGUCGUGAGAUGUUGGGUUAAGUCCCGCAACGAGCGCAACCCUUAUCAUUAGUUGCUAACAUUAAGUUGAGCACUCUAAUGAGACUGCCAGCGACAAGUUGGAGGAAGGUGGGGAUGACGUCAAAUCAUCAUGCCCCUUAUGGCCUGGGCUACACACGUGCUACAAUGGCCGGUACAAAGAGCAGCGAAAUUGUGAAAUGGAGCAAAUCUCAAAAAGCCGGUCUCAGUUCGGAUUGUAGUCUGCAACUCGACUACAUGAAGUUGGAAUCGCUAGUAAUCGUGGAUCAGCAUGCCACGGUGAAUACGUUCUCGAGUCUUGUACACACCGCCCGUCACACCAUGAGAGUUUGUAAUACCCGAAGCCGGUGGCUUAACCGCAAGGAGAGAGCCGUCUAAGGUAGGACAGAUGAUUGGGGUGAAGUCGUAACAAGGUAUCCCUACGAGAACGUGGGGAUG